AAUUACUAACUUCCUGCUGACUAUGUUUUAUUUUGUAAAUAAAAUUACUAAGGAAUUA
rnacentral:tRNA from 1 species